UACGUAGGGGGCAAGCGUUGUCCGGAUUUAUUGGGCGUAAAGAGCGUGUAGGCGGCCUGAAAGGUCAGCUGUGAAGACUCGAGGCUCAACCUCGAGACGUCGGUUGAAACCGCAUGGCUAGAGUCCGGAAGAGGAGAGUGGAAUUCCCGGUGUAGCGGUGAAAUGCGCAGAUAUCGGGAAGAACACCCGUGGCGAAGGCGGCUCUCUGGGACGGUACUGACGCUGAGACGCGAAAGCGUGGGGAGCGAACAGG
rnacentral:rRNA from 1 species